CAGUCGCCGCGGUAACACGAAGGGUGCAAGCGUUACUCGGAAUUACUGGGCGUAAAGCGUGCGUAGGUGGUGGUUUAAGUCCGUUGUGAAAGCCCUGGGCUCAACCUGGGAAUUGCAGUGGAUACUGGGUCACUAGAGUGUGGUAGAGGAUAGUGGAAUUUCCGGUGUAGCAGUGAAAUGCGUAGAGAUCGGAAGGAACAUCUGUGGCGAAGGCGACUAUCUGGGCCAACACUGACACUGAGGCACGAAAGCGUGGGGAGCAAACAGGAUUAGAGACCCCCGUAGUCCCUGUCUCUUAUAA
rnacentral:rRNA from 1 species